UGGGUCGGCAAGACGGUCGCGUCGCCUCACCUCCGGGUGCGGCGCCGAGGAACGUCCGGGCUCCACAGAGCAGGGCGGUGGGUAACACCCACCCGGGGCAACCCGCGAGACAGUGCAACAGAAAGCAGACCGCCACGGCGCACCUCUUCGGAGGUCGCCGGGGUAAGGGUGAAACGGUGGUGUAAGAGACCACCAGCGGUUCGGGUGACCGGCCGGCUCGGUAAACCUCGCCCGGAGCAAGGUCAGACAGAGAACGAUUCAGGCGGCUCGCCGAGUUCUCGGGUAGACCGCUGGAGCGCUGCGGCAACGUAGCGCCGAGAUAGAUGACCGUCCAUGCCGUGCAGCGCCGAGAGGCGCUGCACGGCAAGACAGAACCCGGCGUAGCAGCCGGCCCAUUCG
rnacentral:RNase_P_RNA from 1 species